rnacentral:rRNA from 1 species
GAUGAACGCUGGCGGCGUGCCUAAUACAUGCAAGUCGAGCGAACAGACGAGGAGCUUGCUCCUCUGACGUUAGCGGCGGACGGGUGAGUAACACGUGGAUAACCUACCUAUAAGACUGGGAUAACUUCGGGAAACCGGAGCUAAUACCGGAUAAUAUAUUGAACCGCAUGGUUCAAUAGUGAAAUACGGUUUUGCUGUCACUUAUAGAUGGAUCCGCGCCGCAUUAGCUAGUUGGUAAGGUAACGGCUUACCAAGGCGACGAUGCGUAGCCGACCUGAGAGGGUGAUCGGCCACACUGGAACUGAGACACGGUCCAGACUCCUACGGGAGGCAGCAGUAGGGAAUCUUCCGCAAUGGGCGAAGGCCUGACGGAGCAACGCCGCGUGAGUGAUGAAGGUCUUAGGAUCGUAAAACUCUGUUAUUAGGGAAGAACAAAUGUGUAAGUAACUAUGCACGUCUUGACGGUACCUAAUCAGAAAGCCACGGCUAACUACGUG